rnacentral:rRNA from 1 species
UACAGAGGGUGCGAGCGUUAAUCGGAGUUACUGGGCGUAAAGGGCGCGUAGGCGGUUAUGUGAGUGUGGUGUGAAAGCCCUGGGCUUAACCUAGGAAGUGCAUCGCAAACGACAUAACUGGAGUAUAAGAGAGGGUGGCGGAAUUUCCGGUGUAGCGGUGAAAUGCGUAGAGAUCGGAAGGAACGUCAAUGGCGAAGGCAGCCACCUGGCUUAAUACUGACGCUGAGGCGCGAAAGCGUGGGGAUCGAACAGG